ACUUAAGUAUUAUAAUUAAAUUAUAUUUAAUUUCCAAUUAAAAAAUCUAGAAAAUCUCCUAGCUUAAGUA
rnacentral:tRNA from 1 species